rnacentral:rRNA from 1 species
AGAGUUUGAUCAUGGCUCAGGAUGAACGCUAGCGACAGGCUUAACACAUGCAAGUCGAGGGGCAGCAUGAUUUGUAGCAAUUACAGAUUGAUGGCGACCGGCGCACGGGUGAGUAACGCGUAUGCAACUUACCUAUCAGAGGGGAUAGCCCGGCGAAAGUCGGAUUAAUACCCCAUAAAACAGGGGUCCCGCAUGGGAAUAUUUGUUAAAGAUUCAUCGCUGAUAGAUAGGCAUGCGUUCCAUUAGGCAGUUGGCGGGGUAACGGCCCACCAAACCGACGAUGGAUAGGGGCUCUGAGAGGAAGGUCCCCCACAUUGGUACUGAGACACGGACCGAACUCCUACGGGAGGCAGCA